rnacentral:rRNA from 1 species
CCCCGAGCUCCGGGAUAGCUGUCCGAAAGGGCAGGUAAUACCGGAUAAUAUCGCCGGCCGAUGGGUCGGCGAUCAAAGAUUUAUCGGCGCGGGCGCGGCCUAUCUCCUAUCAGCUAGUUGGUGAGGUAACGGCCCACCAAGGCGAAGACGGGUAGCGGGACUGAGAGGUUGGCCCGCCACAUCGGGACUGAGACACUGCCCGGACCCCCACGGGGGGCUGCAGUAACGAAUCUUGGGCAAUGGGCGAAAGCCUGACCCAGCGACGCCGCGUACGGGAGGAAGCCCUUCGGGGUGUAAACCGUUGUCAGGACUAAGAAAGUCCGCUUCGGCGGAUUGAUCGAGUCCAGAGGAAGUCACGGCUAACUCUGUGCCAGCAGCCGCGGUAAGACAGAGGUGGCUAGCGUUGUUCGGUAUCACUGGGCUUAAAGCGUGUGUAGGCGGAAGCGUAAGCAUUUUGUGAAAUCCCCCGGCUCAACCGGGGAAUCGCUUGAUGUACUGCGCUUCUUGAGGCAAGUAGGGGUGCAUGGAACUCUUGGUGGAGCGGUGGAAUGCGUAGAUAUCAAGAGGAACGCCGGUGGAGAAGUCGGUGCACUGGGCUUGUCCUGACGCUGAGACACGAAAGCGUGGGGAGCGAACGGGAUUAGAUACCCCGGUAGUCCACGCCGUAAACGAUGCCUACUAGGUUGUGGCGGUUCUGACGCCGGCACAGCCGAAGCCAAAGUGUUAAGU